CCUGCCACGUCCCUGGUUCCUGCCUGUGUCCGUGGCCACACCGGCCCACUCUCUCAGUGCUCCGUAUUCAGGCCCUGGAAGCUGGCUGGAGGAGUGCUGUUGAAGAGGUGCCCUGGAGUAGUGGGUGUGGGGCUAGGCUGGGCCAGGCAGACACCAGGGAGUGUGCUGGCCACUGCCCAAGGUGCUGCCCCGUGUUGGGCUCAGGGGGAGCUUGGCCACUCCCUCCUGCCAGGCCCUAGCUCAUCCCCAGGAGUCCUUCUGGGUCAUCUCUGGGACCUCAGUUAGAACCUGUGCCCUCUGUAUCCUGCUCAAACUAAACCAGGACUUUCUCAGGGGCUCCAUGGGCACAAAUUAAAGGGAAGAACGUAUCUAGGCAUCCUUUCUGUCUGGGCUGAGCAAGAGGUGGCUGGCAGAGCCCUGUCUCCUGCCCCAGAUCCUCCCCCAAACCUCCCUCACCAUUUCUGAAACCAGCUCCUCUGGACCGCUAAAGUCAGCAUUCUCCCUGUUGCAGUGAUGGAGGGGUCAUGGACCUGUCAAGGUCACCCAGUGGACCAGGGACGGGAUUGAGGUUUCUCAGUGAGCCCCCUGGAGUCUCUAAUUGAACAAGCCAGUCCGCUGCUCCUGCCACUACCGGGAGGCUGCCCGACCUGACUUCUCCACUGCCGGCCUGAGGACUGAGGCACCUUCUCAUGGGCCGGGUGGGGGUAGGGAGGCCCUGAGGAUCAGGUUAAUGGAGCAGAAGCUUGAAACCGGAGCACGGUGAAGAGCCUGUGAAAUAGCUUUGUCAGCUGCCUCCCACUCGCCACUUUCCAAUUUUAGCUCCCCAUGGCCGGUGCCGGGUGUCCCCAGUGAGGCCUGUGUGAGCACGGCCAGUGCUGGCCCCCAGCCUGGGACCUCUCCUGAUAGACCCCCGGACCUGGGCCCGCCUGUGGACAAAGGAGUGCCCCCUGCCUACCGACCUGCCUGCCUCAGGUCUCCCACCCUCACCCCGGCCCUGCAUGGAGAGGCCCUGGAAGAUGGGGCACCACAUGGAGAGAGAGGCGAAGUACAGGAGAGAGGAGGUGCCCCUACCGAGCUAGCUGAACGGAGCAUGUGAGUGAUCCCGCUGGCAUCAUGUGACGCAGAAUUACCUAGGCUGCCCACAGAACGGCCUGAGUCUCGCCUGGAACUUCUUCCCACCACAGCCUGCAGAGACACGGAGAACAGUGCCGUGCUCAUCCUACAUCUUUCUUACUGAUGGUUGGUGGCGCCAGUGGAAGGAGGAAUGUUCAAGAACCCCCAACGGGAGGUCUGGCCACCGUCAACAGCGGGACAGUUGGUGUGAGCCCCGAACAGCCUGGCACGUCCCCUAAGCCCCGGCCACUCUGAGGAAGCUCGCCGUGUGUGCCCAUUUGUCUGGUUGCGGAUCCGCAGCAGAUUUUUCUCCUGGGCCGACAGCUUCCUUGGGUCGGGAUAGACAGACAGCUCACUGGCUGUUUCUUCGGACCGGCUCCGGGUCUGUCCCAGCUGUUUCUCAAGCUCUCGAACCUGAAGGUGGUUCCACAACAGGUGCGGAGACUGAGACACAGAGAUGAAGAGUUUUGUUCAAAGACACCAAACAUGUAGACCAAUGACUGAGGCCAGACUCAAACUCAGGUCUCUGGAAGCUCAAGGCCACACACUGGUUGUUAAUUACAGUUUUUUGGAGACCUCUUCAUUUGGCUUCAAGGAUCCCACAGGAGACCCUGAGGGUAAAAGCCACUGGAGAAGCUGGGGUGAAGGCGAACCUGCACGUGGCAAACAGUGGAAGUGGCCCACCUAACUGUGUGUCUGUUAGUUGCUUGGCCCAGCUAUCCUCAGACAGCGUUUCCUCCAUGCCAGGCACUGUGGUAAGCAAUUUACACAUGUGCACGCAAUCAGUCCCCCCACAACCUGAAGGGUAGAUGCUGUCAUUAUCCACAGUACAAAGAGGAGGAAACUGAGACACAGAGAUGAAGCAGCUUGUCUGAGGCCACACAGUUGGUGAGUGGAGAGCUGAUAUUUGCUGUUUUUAAAAAUAUAUAUAUUUAUGUAUUUGGCCGCACUAGGUCUCAGUUGGGGCACAUGUUAGUUGUGGGAUGUGGGAUCCAGUUCCCCGAUCAAGGAUCGAACCCAGGGCCCCUGCAUUGGGAGCAUGAAGUCUUAGUCACUGGACCACCAGGGAAGUCCCAGAGAGCUAAGAUUUGAAUCCAAGCAGUCUGGCUGCAGAGCCCCUACUCGCAGCCUCUUUGUUGCUGCUCAGUCACUCAGUCGUGUCCAGUUCUUUGCGACCCCAUGGACUGCAGUAUGCCAGGCUUCUCUGUCUUUCACCAUCUCCCAGAAAUGCUCCAAAAUAUUUAGAACAUAAAAACGGAGACAGGCUAAGAUUUUUUUGGUGGAGGGUGGGGUGGAUAAUUGAAACUUUCAAAAGCCUGCAAGCAUUUGGACAAAACUGGAAAAAGCCUACAAUAGUCAUGCAAAUUUACAUGAACUAGGGGGAAAAAAAUCUGCCUGGAGUGAAAUAAAUCAAAGGCUCUGGCAUUUGUUGAGCGCCAGCGCCUGGCAUGUAGUGUUCCAUAAAUGCUUGUUCGUUAAACAACGAAUGAAAAUCAGGCUGCUUGGGGGGAAUGUGAAACAACAGCCCUGUGAGUGCGCUCCACAGAACCUAAAGGCCUUUUUUGGGUUCUGUGUCUCUUAAUGUGGGCCAUCAUGGGUCUUUCUAGGGCAUCUCAAGCCUUACGUUCAGGGCCAGGAGGAGUCUGAUGACUCACUCACCUUGCUCUGCAGGACGAGGAUCUGUUGAGCCCGACCCCUCCAGGUCCCAGGCGAGGACAGGAGCUGCUGGAUGUUCACAUCUUCCCCAACCUCACUAGUCAAAACCUGAAAAAGGUGGGGCCUUCAGUAUGACCCAAACCACAGUAUGUGCAGAAAUAGUGCUGCGUGCCUGGCAUUCCCAGAAGACCCGGCCUCCACCUGCACAACCACCCCCGUCUCCCCCCUCCCCACCUCAAAGGUCAGUUGACCACGCUGUAGAGCAGCUCUCCCUGGGAAAGCAGUAAACCCACCUUCCCCAGCACUUCCCAGUGAUGCUCAGAGCAGACAAGGAACUGGUGACAGUGCCCAGGCGGGGCCGCCUGCUCCUGACAUAUUCUGGAAUGAGUGAAUCACAAAGUUGACCAAGACCUGCUUCCUAAAUCUGUUCACCUGUCACCCUGAACUGAGAUUGUUUUGGAGGUUACAGGGACGGCCUCACCACAGGGCCUUGCCCUAUGUGCAGAGCAACAGACAAGGGGCCAUGUCUGAGUGCAGCAAGGCAGGGGCCUACCAAAUGUCACUUGGGGAUAUUUGCUUCCAGAAGGGCCCAGAUUUGUGGUUGUUACAGGGAGAUGUUCAGGCUCGACCUCAAGGCUUUGAGGUAGAAACAGUACACCCCAGCUUGUGCCCUGGGCCCCUCUGUAGCCUGUCACGGAAACUGAUCUAGCGUACCAAGUCUCUGGUGCUUGUUUCCACAAUAGAGCUCUGUUUUGGAAAUCUUGGCUGGUCUGAGUGGUUCCAGCAGGGAAGACAAAUGCCAGAGAAUUCACUAUGUAAAUAAAAAUAAAUAAUGAACCAGCUGGGCCUGCCUCCCAA